rnacentral:rRNA from 1 species
CCUACGGGAGGCAGCAGUGGGGAAUAUUGGACAAUGGGCGAAAGCCUGAUCCAGCCAUGCCGCGUGUGUGAAGAAGGUCUUCGGAUUGUAAAGCACUUUAAGUUGGGAGGAAGGGCAGUAAGUUAAUACCUUGCUGUUUUGACGUUACUCGCAGAAUAAGCACCGGCUAACUCUGUGCCAGCAGCCGCGGUAAU